rnacentral:rRNA from 1 species
AUUUAAAAUUGAUUUAAAUUUUUUAGUUAAAAUUAAAAUUUAAAUAAAAAUUUAGAAAUUAAAAAUUUUUAGUAUUAAUUGGAAAAAAAAAGUUAUUAUUUUUUAAUUGUAAAAGUAAUUUAAAAUAAAAAAAAGAAGAUUUUGUUUAUUGUACCUUUUGUAUCAGGGAUUAUUAAAAUUAAAUGUUAGUAUUAAUAUAUCUCGAAUUAAAAAGAGCUAAUUUAAUAUGAUAGUUAAUGUAGAAAAAUUAUUAUAAAUUUUAAAUUUGAAAUGAAAUGUUAAACGAUUUUUAAGAUAUCUAGUUUUUUAAUAUAAAAAUUUAAUUUUUUUAUAAAUUUAAUUAUUAAUAAUUAAAGAUUAUUAAUUAAUUUAUAGAGAAGAAUUUAUGGGAUUAUCUAUAAAUUUAAAUUAAAUGAUGUAUUUAUAAUUUAAAAUUUAGAAAUUAAAAUUUUUAAAAUUUAAAAGUUUUUAAUAAUUUAUUAUUUAGAAUUAAUUUGAUUUUUAAAGUUAUUAAUUUAUUAUUAAAAUAAAUUUAUAAAUUUUUUAUAAGUUAAAAUAAUGAUAAUAUUAGUAUAAAUAAAUUGUUAAAUUAAUUGUUUAAUUAAAUUAAUUUAAGGAAUUAAGCAAAUUUUAAAGUUCACUUGUUUAUCAAAAACAUGUUUUUUUGAAAUUAAUAAAAAAUUUUCUCUGCCCAAUGAUAAAUUAAAUGGCCGCAGUAUUUUGACUGUGCAAAGGUAGCAUAAUAAAUAGCUUUUUAAUUGAAGGCUAGAAUGAAUGAGAGGAUGAAAUUUUAACUGUCUCAAUUUAAUUAUAAAAUUUUAUUUUAAGUUAAAAUUCUUAAAUAAAUUUAAGGGACGAGAAGACCCUAUAGAAUUUAAAAAUUAAGUUUAAUUUUGGAGUUAAUAUUAAAUUAAAAUUAUUUUAAAAUUUUUUUAUUGGGAUGAUAUUUAAAUUUAAAUAACUUAAAAUUAUUAAAUUCAAUGAUUAAUGAAUUUAAGAGUAAAUUUAAUAAAUAAAAGAUAAAAUUACCUUAGGGAUAACAGCGUAAUAAAUUUUUAAAGUUCAAAUUAAAAAAUUUGAUUGCGACCUCGAUGUUGAAUUAAAAUAAAAUUUAAGUGAAGAAGCUUAAAAUUUAAGUCUGUUCGACUUUUAAAAUUUUACAUGAUUUG